CCUACGGGAGGCAGCAGUGGGGAAUAUUGGACAAUGGGGGCAACCCUGAUCCAGCAAUGCCGCGUGAGUGAUGAAGGCCUUAGGGUUGUAAAGCUCUUUUACCAGGGAUGAUAAUGACAGUACCUGGAGAAUAAGCUCCGGCUAACUCCGUGCCAGCAGCCGCGGUAAUACGGAGGAGCUAGCGUUGUUCGGAAUUACUGGGCGUAAAGCGCACGUAGGCGGUUACUCAAGUCAGAGGUGAAAGCCCGGGGCUCAACCCCGGAACUGCCUUUGAAACUAGGUAACUAGAAUCCUGGAGAGGUGAGUGGAAUUCCGAGUGUAGAGGUGAAAUUCGUAGAUAUUCGGAAGAACACCAGUGGCGAAGGCGGCUC
rnacentral:rRNA from 1 species